rnacentral:rRNA from 1 species
CCUACGGGGGGCAGCAGUAGGGAAUCUUCGGCAAUGGACGAAAGUCUGACCGAGCAACGCCGCGUGAGUGAAGAAGGUUUUCGGAUCGUAAAACUCUGUUGUUAGAGAAGAACAAGUAGGAGAGUAACUGCUCUUACCUUGACGGUAUCUAACCAGAAAGCCACGGCUAACUACGUGCCAGCAGCCGCGGUCAUACGUAGGUGGCAAGCGUUGUCCGGAUUUAUUGGGCGUAAAGCGAGCGCAGGCGGUCUUUUAAGUCUGAUGUGAAAGCCCUCGGCCCAACCGAGGAAGGUCAUUGGAAACUGGAGGACUUGAGUGCAGAAGAGGAGAGUGGAAUUCCAUGUGUAGCGGUGAAAAGCGUAGAUAUAUGGAGGAACACCAGUGGCGAAGGCGGCUCUCUGGUCUGUAACUGACGCUGAGGCUUGAAAGCGUGGGGAGCAAACAGGAUUAGAUACCCUCGUAGUC